UACGGGGGGAGCAAGCGUUGUUCGGAUUUACUGGGCGUAAAGGGCGCGUAGGCGGUCAGCACAAGUCAGUUGUGAAAUCUCCGGGCUUAACUCGGAAAGGUCAACUGAUACUGUGCGACUAGAGUGCAGGAAGGGGCAACUGGAAUUCUCGGUGUAGCGGUGAAAUGCGUAGAUAUCGAGAGGAACACCUGCGGCGAAGGCGGGUUGCUGGGGCGACACUGACGCUGAUGCGCGGAAAGCCGGGUAGGGAGCGAACGGGAUUAGAAACCC
rnacentral:rRNA from 1 species